CCUGCAUCAGGACGGCGCAUAUGACGGUCUGGAUAAGCGUCGACGCCAGCGAGCCGUUUAGGAAAUAGGUAACGAUCGCAAACACGGCCAAGGCGCCGAGCAUGCUCACAAGAACGCGCGGUGCGUACAUAGCGCUACCUCGCGCUCGGUUCUGUCGUCGAUGUCGU
rnacentral:sRNA from 1 species